CCAAGGUAAACAGACCUAAGCCAGGUGCCUGCAUCACGUUUCCCACUGCUGGGAGAAAAAUCUGCCCACUUGGGGAGAAAAUGAGGUCCCUGCAGAGCAGCCAAGACAGGAACAGAUGAUGAGAAUGUGUGUUCUCAGCACUAAGGUCCCAGUUUCAGCCUUCGUGGCCCCCAGCAUGGCCCUGGGGCUAAAACUUUCUCUGUUUUGAGUUUCUGUCACUGACAACCAUGGAGUCCUGCUUGACCCAGGACCACCGGGAAAGCAUCGACUAGCGGGCAAUGGUGACAGUGAAGAGAAUGUGUCUGCGUCAGAGCCGGGUCCUCCCCCUCCGUUAGCUGACCGCACAGCAGCGGUCCCAUGCAGGAUCGCACCAGGGCUGUGCCAUCGCGGUUCCCACCUCCACUGGGCAGCUCCAGGGACCACAACACUGCCACCACCGUGAUGCCAGGCUCGGGGAUCUCUCCUCAGGAGGGUGAGACACAAGAAUCCGACAUCAGCAAGACACAAGAAAAUCGGGCCUCUCUCAGCUGGAGUGCAGUGAUACCAUCUCGGCUCGCUGCAGCCUUGACCUCCCCGGCUAAAGCGA